UGAGGAAUUUUGCGCAAUGGGAGCAAUCCUGACGCAGUAACGCCGCGUGGGUGAAGAAGGCCUUCGGGUCGUAAAGCCCUGUCAGGUGGGAAGAAAAAGCCUGAGGUGAACAGUCUUGGGUAUUGACGGUACCACCAGAGGAAGCACCGGCUAACUCCGUGCCAGCAGCCGCGGUAAUACGGAGGGUGCGAGCGUUAUUCGGAAUUACUGGGCGUAAAGCGCGUGCAGGCGGGCGAAUAAGUCUGGUGUGAAGCCCCGGGCUCAACCUGGGAAGUGCACUGGAAACUGUUCGUCUUGAGUGCUGGAGAGGAAGGGGGAAUUCCCGGUGUAGAGGUGAAAUUCGUAGAGAUCGGGAGGAAUACCGGUGGCGAAGGCGCCCUUCUGGACGGCAACUGACGCUGAAACGCGAAAGCGUGGGGAGCAAACAGGAUUAGAUACCCUGGUAGUCCACGCUGUAAACGAUGAGCACUAGGUGUAGCGGGUACUCAUUCCUGCUGUGCCGCAG
rnacentral:rRNA from 1 species